rnacentral:rRNA from 1 species
GUGUCAGCAGCCGCGGUAAUACGUAGGGGGCGAGCGUUGUCCGGAUUCAUUGGGCGUAAAGAGCUCGUAGGCGGCUUGUCAAGUCGGGUGUGAAACCUCCAGGCUCAACCUGGAGACGCCACUCGAGACUGUCAUGGCUAGAGUCCGGUAGGGGAUCACGGAAUUCCUGGUGUAGCGGUGAAAUGCGCAGAUAUCAGGAGGAACACCGAUGGCGAAGGCAGUGAUCUGGGCCGGUACUGACGCUGAGGAGCGAAAGCGUGGGUAGCAAACAGGAUUAGAUACCCUGGUAGUCC